AACGAACGCUGGCGGCAUGCCUAACACAUGCAAGUCGAACGAGACCUUCGUGUCUAGUGGCGCACGGGUGCGUAACGCGUGGGAACCUGCCCUUAGGUUCGGAAUAACUCCCCGAAAGGGGUGCUAAUACCGGAUAAUGUCUUCGGACCAAAGAUUUAUCGCCUUUGGAUGGGCCCGCGUUGGUUUAGCUAGUUGGUAGGGUACAAGCCUACCAAGGCGACGAUCCAUAGCUGGUCUGAGAGGAUGAUCAGCCACACUGGGACUGAGACACGGCCCAGACGCCUACGGGAGGCAGCAGUGGGGAAUAUUGGACGAUGGGCGAAAGCCUGAUCCAGCCAUGCCGCGUGAGUGAUGAAGGCCUUAGGGUUGUAAAGCUCUUUUACCCGGGAUGAUAAUGACAGUACCGGGAGAAUAAGCUCCGGCUAACUACGUG
rnacentral:rRNA from 1 species